CCUUCGGGUGGAAGAUUUAGUAACUUAGUGGCGGACGGGUGAGUAACACGUGAGGAACCUGCCUUGCAGAGGGGGAUAACAUCUGGAAACGGAUGCUAAUACCGCAUGACACCAUUGGGGGGCAUCCCCUGAUGGUCAAAGAUUUAUCGCUGCAAGAUGGCCUCGCGGUCGAUUAGAUAGUUGGCGGGGUAACGGCCCACCAAGUCGACGAUCAGUAGCCGGUCUGAGAGGAUGAACGGCCACACUGGAACUGAGACACGGUCCAGACUCC
rnacentral:rRNA from 1 species